AUUGAACGCUGGCGGCAGGCCUAACACAUGCAAGUCGAACGGUAACAGGAAGCAGCUUGCUGCUUUGCUGACGAGUGGCGGACGGGUGAGUAAUGUCUGGGAAACUGCCCGAUGGGGGGGGAUAACUACUGGAAACGGUAGCUAAUACCGCAUAACGUCGCAAGACCAAAGAGGGGGACCUUAGGGCCUCUUGCCAUCGGAUGUGCCCAGAUGGGAUUAGCUAGUAGGUGGGGUAACGGCUCACCUAGGCGACGAUCCCUAGCUGGUCUGAGAGGAUGACCAGCCACACUGGAACUGAGACACGGUCCAGACUCCUACGGGAGGCAGCAGUGGGGAAUAUUGCACAAUGGGCGCAAGCCUGAUGCAGCCAUGCCGCGUGUAUGAAGAAGGCCUUCGGGUUGUAAAGUACUUUCAGCGGGGAGGAAGGGAGUAAAGUUAAUACCUUUGCUCAUUGACGUUACCCGCAGAAGAAGCACCGGCUAACUCCGUG
rnacentral:rRNA from 1 species